rnacentral:rRNA from 1 species
UUGUUCGUUUGAUUGUAUACCCACUGGAUAACCGUGGAAAAGCUAGAGCUAAUACAUGCGAAAAAUCCCUGCUGCGGUCAAACGUGGCUAGGAUGCAUUUGUUAGAGUAAACCAACUACNGNAUCCUCACGGAUCCAUUGGUGAGUCUAGAUAACUGCGCUGAUCGUAUGGCCUUGUGCCGGCGACGUUUCAAUCAAAUUUCUGCCCUAUCAACUUGUUGGUAAGGUCGUGGCUUACCAAGGUGAUAACGGNUNACNNGGAUCAGGUUNGAUUCCGGAGAGGGAGCCUGAGAAACGGCUACCACAUCCAAGGAAGGCAGCAGGCGCGCAAAUUACCCAAUCCAGACNCUGGGAGGUGGUGACGAGAAAUACCAGGUCGCUCCCAAAAGGAUGUGACACUGGAAUGAACACAAUAUAAGACAUUUGUCGAGUAACAACUGGAGGGCAAGUCUGGUGCCAGCAGCCGCGGUAAUUCCAGCUCCAGUAGUGUAUCCUAAAGUUGCUGCGGUUAAAACGCUCGUAGUUGGAUUACGGGGUGGUUCUCUUCGGUGUGCUUGUCAUUAAAACUGUGUGCAGCUGGCUUUGGUUGGUUGUGCAUGGCGAUGAGUACACUCUAUUGGGGGACCACCACUUGUAUCGUGAGGAUGGUGGUUGGCCUUUAUUGUGCUGCCCACUGUGUCUUGCGGAGUGUGCCUUGAAUAAAUCAGAGUGCUCAAAGCAGGCGUAUUGCUUGAAUGUUAAUAGCAUGGAACGAACAAUCGUGAUAUGUGCUGCGUAUGAUUGUUGUCCAUUUCGGUGGGGCAAUGUUGUGCGUGGUGCUGCACCAACCACGAUGCGGACGUUGGUUUCCGUGAUCGGGUGAUGAUUAAGAGGGAUCAUUGGGGGUAUUGGUAUUUGGCCGCGAGAGGUGAAAUUCUUGGACCGGCCAAGGACCGACAAAUGCGAAAGCAUUUACCAAGAUGACUCCCAUUAAUCAAGAACGAAAGUGAGAGGUUCGAAGACGAUCAGAUACCGUCCUAGUUCUCACCGUAAACUAUGCCAACCCGGGAUCAGUUGUGAUCGAUUUUACGUAAGAUCCAUGUUGGUCCCCCUGGGAAACCUCAAGUCUUUAGGUUCCGGGGGGAGUAUGGUUGCAAGGCUGAAACUUAAAGGAAUUGACGGAGACCACCGGAGUGGAGCCUGCGGCUUAAUUUGACUCAAGACGAAAACUCACCUGGUCCGGACAUCGAUAGGAUUGACAGACUGAUAGAUCUUUCAUGAUACGG